GGAUGACUCUGCUGGAUCUAGAGCUAAAUAGAAACUUCUUUGCCAUAGAAACUUCUCUGUUGAAGGACUGCGUCCCCAUUCAAAGAGGUCAGAUUUGUGGGCAGGCAAGAGCUCAGGAAUGAAGAACCAAAAAGGAGGCUCUCAACCCCUCUCCAAGGCCAGACGCUCUCUGUACUCCCAUUAACUUCACAACCAAGUGCAGACGCUCGACCAACUCUUCAGCCAGUGCAUGCAGGGCUCUGGAGGUGAUGCCAGCAGGAUCUGGAGGAUCUCGCUCUGUAACCCAGGCUCUGGAAUGCAGUGGCACAACCACGGCUCACUGCAGUCUCAACCUCCUGGGCUCAACUGAUCCCCCCACUUCAGCCUCCUGAGUAGCUGGGACUACAGAGGACACUGGAGGUGAAGAAGGAAGCUCUUGACUCUCCUAAAGCUGAUCCCAAAGUGAAGGCUUUGAAGGCCAAGAAGGCAGUGCUGAAAGGCAUCCACACAGCCACCAAG
rnacentral:lncRNA from 1 species